GGAUGCGAUCAUACCAGCACUAAAGCAACGGAUCCCAUCAGAACUCCGAAGUUAAGCGUGCUUGGGCGAGAGUAGUACUAGGAUGGGUGACCUCCUGGGAAGUCCUCGUGUUGCAUCCC
rnacentral:rRNA from 1 species